rnacentral:rRNA from 1 species
UACGAAGGGUGCAAACGUUGCUCGGAAUUAUUGGGCAUAAAGAGCUCGUAGGCGGUUUGGCAAGUCGGGUGUGAAACCUCCAGGCUCAACCUGGAGACGCCACUCGAUACUGCUAUGACUUGAGUCUGGUAGGGGAUCACGGAAUUCCUGGUGUAGCGGUGAAAUGCAUAGAUAUCAGGAGGAACACCGGUGGCGAAGGCGGUGAUCUGGGCCAGUACUGACGCUGAGGAGCGAAAGCGUGGGGAGCGAACAGG